rnacentral:rRNA from 1 species
UGAGGAAUUUUGCGCAAUGGGAGCAAUCCUGACGCAGCAACGCCGCGUGGGUGAUGAAGGCCUUCGGGUCGUAAAGCUCUGUUGUUAGGGAAGAACAAGUACCGUUCGAAUAGGGCGGUACCUUGACGGUACCUAACCAGAAAGCCACGGCUAACUACGUGCCAGCAGCCGCGGUAAUACGUAGGUGGCAAGCGUUGUCCGGAAUUAUUGGGCGUAAAGGGCUCGCGGGCGGUUUCUUAAGUCUGAUGUGAAAGCCCCCGGCUCAACCGGGGAGGGUCAUUGGAAACUGGGGAACUUGAGUGCAGAAGAGGAGAGUGGAAUUCCACGUGUAGCGGUGAAAUGCGUAGAGAUGUGGAGGAACACCAGUGGCGAAGGCGACUCUCUGGUCUGUAACUGACGCUGAGGAGCGAAAGCGUGGGGAGCGAACA